GGGAACAAAAGAAAGGAAAACUUUAGUGACACGCUUUGCAGCGAAUGAAUCGGAUGCAAAAUUGCGAUCUCGUCAGUAGAGACUGCUCCUGAUCGUCGAGUUCUCGAUUUUCUCAACAUUUUUCGCCGUGGAAAGAAGAGCAUACCCCUUACACAGAAUGAAGGUAAUCAAAAUAGCUUUUCUCGUCCUCUUCGCCGCAGUGGGGUUCAUUUCUUUGAGUGCCGCAGCUAAGUCAUCUGCCUGUAUGAACUCUGCAGACAUGAUGAAAGUAUGUACUAGUUGCCCGUCUACGUCAGCAUGCACUAGAGUCGUCAACGAAAUGAUGGAUCCCACUGCCACUGCAGCUAUAUAGGGGGUAAAAGAAUAAUAAAAUGUGACUAGAAUGAUGUAAAUAUACAUUUAAAAGGAUAGCAGAACGUAGAGGAUGGUUGUGGAAGGAUCGUGAGGAAAAAUCCGUACGACUUUCAACUUGACGCUGAUUCCGUGACCAAAGCCUUAAAAAUCGUGUUCUGUAUGUUUGAACAUUGAGCUAAAACAACCAAAGUCAUGGUCAAUAUAUACCAAAGCUUCUUUUUGUGUGGUUUAUAUUGCGAAUUUAAAAUAAAUAAGGUUUGUUUAAAAUA